CUUUUCAAGCUGGUGGCAUUCUUCCCUUAUUGGAUAGGGAAGAAUUGCUAUAACUAUUCUAGGAAAAAAAAAAAAAAGAAAAAGAAAAAGAAAAGAAUUACCACUAAUUAACAUUGUGCAAUUGAAUGAAUUUGAAAUACUUAUAGCACAGGUGACCCUAACCCUCGCCUGCUAGCCAAACUGUCGUGUUCUCUUUCCUGUACGCAGCAGUUGUGCCAUUCUGUUACAGCAGCAUUGCCCUCUGGAUACCUGUCACAGGUCCUAACACAACUUCUGGCACAGUGAUCCUGAAGCCUUUGAGGAGACAACAGUCCUAGGAUGAAAGCAAUUCUGCAUUCAAAACUCACCAGGAACUCACACUAUGUCAAAGGCCUUUUCUAGGAUGUCACUAGGAACACCUAUCAAGAUUUCUGUAAGGGUUAUGGAGAAGUAUUUUCAAGUCAAGCUGAAUUGAAGUCAAUGGCAAUGAAAUCUCAUGGCGUGGAGACGAGAGCGGUUUUCGCAGUUGGGGCUCAUCUGUGGUACAGAGAUGAUGCCAGCUAUGCUGUGAUACAAACACUCCAUUCUGACUCGGUCCAUACAACUUGGCCAAGCAAUUCUCUGGCUCCUCCACCCAAAGCUGGGACUGCCCAUACAGCAUGAAGCAAGGGGAAGCAGGUCGAGGAUUCUGGGCUCAGAAUUCCGGUGUCCCUGACUCUCCAGUUAGCAAUUUGUGUUACGCUCAUCACCAGGACAGGGCUGCAGCUGAAUGAUGAAUGAAGUGAUCCACGCACCUGAGAGUUUUUCAAGCACCUGCAACUCCCACUGGUGUCAACAGGCAUCUGGGGCACCUAGGGUUGGGGCAGUAAAGCCUGACUCCGCACGGUACUGAGAGCUGCCAGGGCUAGCAGCCUCCUCGGCCCCGGGCGCUGGGGUCUGCGCUCUGCCGAGGGAGCGCGGGGAGCGAAGCCUCCGAAAAAUGCUGGUUAUGUGGAUGGAUGCUUGUGGUGGGAGACCGAUCUCCGAGCCACGGGGCCGGGUGCCUGCGCCGCAGCGAAGCGGCCCGGACGCGGAGCGGGGAGGGACGGAGCCGCAGCGCGGCAGAGGCGCGCAGACGGCUGCAGGAGCGCGGCGAGGCCGGAGCCUGCUCCCGAGCGCGUUUCGCCCCCUCGCCGGCUACGAACUGCUGGCUUGUUCCUGCAGCUCGGAGGAGCGAACGAGCCCAGAAGAACGCCAAGAGCAGGGACUGCCGCGGCUCCACCGGGACGAGCCGCUGCUUUUCAUUUAACUUUUCAGUUUGGUUAAUGUUUUACCGCGGCCCGCAAGCAAAGCCCCGUCGGAGCGCCUCCGUCCUCCACUUUAAAACCGGACGGGCACCUGAGGCGUACGCCCUGCACCUGCCUCCAGCUGCCUCGCCGCCUGCUCCGCGCCGGCGUUUCUGCAAGCGUCUCACGGUUUUGCUUCCUGUGAGCGAGCGCUCGGGCCUUUCCCCCGCCGCCGAGCGCGCAGCUGGCCCGCGAGCCCCGCGCGGCCGGCCGCGCUGGCCCAGG